rnacentral:rRNA from 1 species
UACGGGAGGCAGCAGUGGGGAAUAUUGCACAAUGGGCGCAAGCCUGAUGCAGCCAUGCCGCGUGUAUGAAGAAGGCCUUCGGGUUGUAAAGUACUUUCAGUCGUGAGGAAGGUGUUAAGGUUAAUAACCUUAGCAAUUGACGUUAGCGACAGAAGAAGCACCGGCUAACUCCGUGCCAGCAGCCGCGGUAAUACGGAGGGUGCGAGCGUUAAUCGGAAUUACUGGGCGUAAAGGGCACGCAGGCGGUUAAUUAAGUUGGAUGUGAAAUCCCCGGGCUUAACCUGGGAAUGGCAUUCAAGACUGGUUAGCUAGAGUCUUGUAGAGGGGGUAGAAUUCCGAUGUGUAGCGGUGAAAUGCGUAGAGAUGUGGAGGAAUACCGGUGGCGAAGGCGGCCCCUGGGACAAAGACUGACGCUCAUGUGCGAAAGCGUGGGGAGCGAAACAGGGAUUAGAUACC